rnacentral:rRNA from 1 species
CCUACGGGAGGCAGCAGUGGGGAAUAUUGCACAAUGGGGGAAAGCCUGAUGCAGCGACGCAGCGUGAGGGAAGAAGGAUUUCGGUAUGGAAAGCUCUAUCAGCAGGGAAGAAAAGGACGGUACCUGAUUAAGAAGCCCCGGCUAACUACGUGCCAGCAGCCGCGGUUAUACGUAGGGGGCAAGCGUUAUCCGGAUUUACUGGGUGUAAAGGGAGCGUAGACGGCAGCACAAGUCUGGAGUGAAAUGCCGGGGCUUAACCCUGGAACUGCUUUGGAAACUGUGCAGCUAGAGUGCAGGAGAGGUAAGUGGAAUUCCUGGUGUAGCGGUGAAAUGCGUAGAUAUUAGGAGGAACACCAGUGGCGAAGGCGGCUUACUGGACUGUCACUGACGUUGAGGCUCGAAAGCGUGGGGAGCAAACAGGAUUAGAUACCCUUGUAGUC